rnacentral:rRNA from 1 species
UACAGAGGUGGCAAACGUUGUCCGGAUUUAUUGGGUGUAAAGGGCAUGUAGGCGGUCUUGUAAGUCAAAGGUGAAAUGGCCCGGCUUAACCAGGUCAUUGCCUUUGAAACUGCAGGGCUUGAGUACGGAAGAGGAAAGCGGAAUUCCCAGUGUAGCGGUGAAAUGCGUAGAUAUCAGGAGGAACACCGGUGGUGUAGACGGC